UAUCAAAAUACCUAUGGAUCCAC
rnacentral:siRNA from 1 species